GCGCGCGGGCCCUGACUCCCCCGACCUCCGGCGCGCUUCAGUCUUUCGGCGGUCGGACAUGGUGAGAGCACCAUCGCUGCGGUGCACGGAGGCUGGGGCGGCCUGGGCGGUGGGUCGAGCUGCGGGGCAUCGCGGGCUCGCACAGCAAGGGGAGCAGGCGGGCCUGCAAGGCGAUCAUUCUUGUGGGGUCCAAGCUGGCCUGGAGCUCUCUGUAAUGCCCCUGCCUCGGCCUCCUUAGGCCGGGGAUUUGGACCGCCGCUUGAGCUAUGGCUCAGCGUUUUCUGCAGUUCUCGAAGCGUAUGAUCUUAUCCGCGGACCGUGGGCGAGCCUUCCUGGAUUGGGCCGCCUGGUAUUUUCUUUACAUCGGGGACUUGGCACACAGCAGAAAGACGUUACUAUCAAGUCAGAUGCGCCUGACACCCUGUUGCUGGAGAAGCAUGCCGAUUAUAUUGCCUCCUAUGGCUCAAAGAAAGAUGAUUAUGAAUACUGCAUGUCUGAAUACCUGAGAAUGAGCGGUGUCUAUUGGGGCCUGACUGUGAUGGACCUCAUGGGACAGCUUCAUCGCAUGAACAGAGAAGAAAUCCUGGUGUUUAUCAAGUCGUGCCAGCAUGAGUGUGGGGGAAUAAGUGCUAGCAUUGGGCACGACCCCCACCUUCUGUACACGCUCAGUGCUGUCCAGAUUCUUACUCUGUAUGACAGUGUUCAUGUUAUCAACGUAGAUAAGGUUGUGGCCUAUGUUCAGAGCCUACAGAAAGAAGAUGGCUCCUUUGCUGGAGACAUUUGGGGUCCCACUAAGCAGUUGGUCUAACUGGAAUAAAAUGGCCUGCUGGAAGUCCCAGCAUGCCCCAUGCUGGCUUGUCAGCACGCCACACUAAAAGAUAAGGAGAAAUUGAUACAAGAUUCUCAUUUUGUGCGGUUGCAACUUUGGCUCUUUUGGGCAAGCUUGAUGCUAUUAAUGUGGAAAAGGCGAUUGAGUUUGUUUUGUCCUGCAUGAACUUUGAUGGUGGAUUUGGGUGCAGACCAGGCUCUGAAUCUCACGCUGGGCAGAUCUAUUGUUGCACAGGAUUCCUGGCCAUAACUAGUCAGUUGCACCAAGUGAACUCCGACCUACUUGGUUGGUGGCUUUGUGAACGGCAGUUGCCCUCAGGCGGACUCAAUGGAAGACCCGAGAAGUUACCAGAUGUGUGCUACUCAUGGUGGGUGUUGGCCUCCCUAAAGAUCAUCGGGAGACUUCACUGGAUUGACAGAGAAAAGCUUCGAAGUUUCAUCUUAGCGUGUCAAGAUGAAGAGACGGGAGGAUUUGCAGANAGACCAGGAGAUAUGGUGGAUCCCUUCCACACCUUAUUUGGCAUUGCUGGCUUGUCNCUUCUGGGAGAAGAGCAGAUCAAGCCUGUUAGCCCUGUCUUCUGCAUGCCGGAAGAAGUGCUUCAGAGGGUGAAUGUCCAGCCUGAACUAGUGAGCUAGUCAGGUGGGAACGAUGCUCUAGUGUGCAAUAUGAAUUGCUGUAUUGGAAGUGUUUAUCAAACCUAGACGUGACUUAAUAUUUUGUAUUUCAUAUGCUAAUGAUAAAUUAUAUAAGUAUUGUAAAAUAAAUAUGUUGUAUUUAGAUCUUUAGUCUUCUGAGUCCAGUUUUGUUAGUCCUGUUUAGAGCUAGUAUUUAACUGAUGCCUCCCCAGGUCCUAUUUUCUUGUAACAAUGAUGGGAAGUGAUUUCUGUUAAUAAAAGUGAUGAGUGAAACUCAUGAUUUAAAUAAAGGUCAAAAUCGAG